CACGUUUUAACAUUAAUGAAAUAUUCGAAUUCCACAACGACCUCGCGUGUUUCAUCGUAUAUUUCAGUAUUUGUAACUGCAUAUUAUAUAGCAUUUUGCAGAGUAUUUCAUUGUGUGCAUGUUCCCAUCAAUAACUUCUUAUCCAUUAAACAUAUUUGAAGUAUGAUUUUGGAAAAUAAAAUUAUCGUAUUAAAAAUAAGAAAUAUCUACUGAAUCCACUACUAUUAAAAUCAAGACACGGGUUACAGGAGUAUGAUACAAUAUAAGAACGGACAAUAUAGCUGUUAACACACCGUCGAUGUGACGAAGAGAUUAAAAACAAUAAAAAAAACAUACAAAUCGCCUUUGCCCCGAUUUUCGUGACGACAGCGGGCGGUGACCUCAACUUCAUUCUGACAAAUAAUGUAACAUAGGAGGUAGAUACAAGUUAUUAAAAGAUGUUUACGCCUGGACCGUUAAGUCUGCAAUAUGGAACGUAUAAAAUCACGACGGUGAUGAUGAAUUUACUAAUCUGCGAAUGGACUUCAUCAGUCGAUAAACUCACUCGAGCCAAUCAUUAUUAUAAUGUAUACAUAG